rnacentral:rRNA from 1 species
ACUCCUACGGGAGGCAGCAGUGGGGAAUAUUGCACAAUGGGCGCAAGCCUGAUGCAGCCAUGCCGCGUGUAUGAAGAAGGCCUUCGGGUUGUAAAGUACUUUCAGCAGUGAGGAAGGUGGGUAUGUUAAUAGCAUACUCAUUUGACGUUAGCUGCAGAAGAAGCACCGGCUAACUCCGUGCCAGCAGCCGCGGUAAUACGGAGGGUGCGAGCGUUAAUCGGAAUUACUGGGCGUAAAGCGCAUGCAGGUGGUUUGUUAAGUCAGAUGUGAAAGCCCGGGGCUCAACCUCGGAAUUGCAUUUGAAACUGGCAAACUAGAGUACUGUAGAGGGGGGUAGAAUUUCAGGUGUAGCGGUGAAAUGCGUAGAGAUCUGAAGGAAUACCGGUGGCGAAGGCGGCCCCCUGGACAGAUACUGACACUCAGAUGCGAAAGCGUGGGGAGCAAACAGGAUUAGAUACCCUGGUAGGCUACUGC